rnacentral:rRNA from 1 species
GUGGCGAAGGCGACUCUCUGGUCUGUAACUGACGCUGAGGAGCGAAAGCGUGGGGAGCGAACAGGAUUAGAUACCCUGGUAGUCCACGCCGUAAACGAUGAGUGCUAAGUGUUAGGGGGUUUCCGCCCCUUAGUGCUGCAGCUAACGCAUUAAGCACUCCGCCUGGGGAGUACGGUCGCAAGACUGAAACUCAAAGGAAUUGACGGGGGCCCGCACAAGCGGUGGAGCAUGUGGUUUAAUUCGAAGCAACGCGAAGAACCUUACCAGGUCUUGACAUCCUCUGACAACCCUAGAGAUAGGGCUUUCCCUUCGGGGACAGAGUGACAGGUGGUGCAUGGUUGCCGUCAGCUCGUGUCGUGAGAUGUUGGGUUCAGUCCCGCAACGAGCGCAACCCUUGAUCUUAGUUGCCAGCAUUCAGUUGGGCACUCUAAGGUGACUGCCGGUGACAAACCGGAGGAAGGUGGGGAUGACGUCAAAUCAUCAUGCCCCUUAUGACCU